UUCUGAUUAACGGACCUCUGGACUUUCUGCAAUUUAUUCCAUUUAUUUCACGCUGAUAAACACAAACUAAUAGGUUGCGGCGUUCUCAUAUUGUCGUCUUUGAUAGAUCUAGGGUUCGUACUCUUAAGCUGUGAUUAAGUCAUCAAACUCCAAUGGAGGUUGUUAGAGGUUCUCCGUCUCAGUUAUUCGUCUGGAAUCACUGCGUCGGUCUCUUUUGUAAUGUUUCGUUCCUGAUUCAUCUCCUCUGUUACGUUACGGUAUUAAGUGUUCAUCUCCAUUACUAGCGCUCUUUACUCUUAAGACCUACGCCUCACGAUUCCUCAUUCAGUACUUCUCAUCUCCCUUACAGACGGUGAAACUCGACCUAUAAAAUGCGUUAGAAGAAAGAACAAGCGCUCUUCGGUGGCGUGUUUUCAGUUUGAAUUUCUCGACAUUUUUGGUUUAACACAGUCAGAAAAUCAAAGCUAACUAAGAGAAUAUAUCCUCAAUUAAUUAGAAACUCAUAUCAUAUGUGGUUUAUAAUGGUUUGUCAUCAUAAUCGUGGUAUGUAAACGUUAUACUAAUUUCAUAAGUCAGCCAUCAAGUACUUUCUGGAAUAGUUAAUUUUGGUACAGAGUCAUUUCAGGACUUAACAUAGCUUAAGCAACUCUAUUUCAAGCACUGUUAAAACAAUGAUGGUGUUAUCUGGUUUACUUCUACAACAAUAAAACGAUAUUUUUUAUGAUAACUGUACCUAAUUUUUGCUUAUUUCUUCCUGGUCAGAUUGAUACACACUCUAAUGCGGAAGCUACUAAGAAAUUUUGGAUAUGGGAUAUUAUUCACUGCAUCAGAUGGAGGAUUUUAUUAAUCAGCAUGUGUUGGCUGAAGAACACCAGUCUAGAAAAAGUGAAAACUAUGAGAUGGUGUCACUUAAUGGAAGGAUGUAGGAAUAUCCAUCGAGAAACCAUGAACUCAAGUGGUUCUCCAACAAGGGAUGUCAUGAAAAUACCUUUUGAACUGAGGCUUACUCAUAUGUACUUUUUUAUUGUUUUGUCUUAUACAGUAUAUUAUCUCUAAAACAAAUCAAUGAAAC